rnacentral:rRNA from 1 species
CCUACGGGAGACAGCAGUGAGGAAUAUUGGUCAAUGGACGCGAGCCUGAACCAGCCAAGUAGCGUGAAGGAUGACUGCCCUACGGGUUGUAAACUUCUUUUAUAAGGGAAUAAAAUGAGGCACGUGUGCCUUUUUGUAUGUACUUUAUGAAUAAGGAUCGGCUAACUCCGUGCCAGCAGCCGCGGUAAUACGGAGGAUCCGAGCGUUAUCCGGAUUUAUUGGGUUUAAAGGGAGCGUAGAUGGGUUGUUAAGUCAGUUGUGAAAGUUUGCGGCUCAACCGUAAAAUUGCAAUUGAUACUGGCAGCCUUGAGUACAGUAGAGGUAGGCGGAAUUCGUGGUGUAGCGGUGAAAUGCUUAGAUAUCACGAAGAACUCCGAUUGCGAAGGCAGCCUACUAAACUGCAACUGACACUGAUGCUCGAAAGUGUGGGUAUCAAACAGGAUUAGAUACCCGAGUAGUC